rnacentral:snRNA from 1 species
AGAGCUUUUCAGCCUUUUGGGGAAGCUCAAGUGUAGUGCAUGUUCUUACCAGUUUCUUACCUGAUUAGGCGGCUGCAAGGAUUCGCUGCUAAAUAGUGUUGUGGAGACAGGAGAUGCUUUGGGAGCUUGCUGUAGCCGCUUCACACGUGGCCCUGGUAUCGCGAUACCUCCUGGUGCGCUGUUAGCCCU